rnacentral:rRNA from 1 species
UUGACCUCGGAUUAGGUAGGAAUACCCGCUGAACUUAAGCAUAUCAAUAA